rnacentral:lncRNA from 1 species
AGGUUGAGUUGUUUCUUUAAAGAUGGGACUAGGACCUAUUUAGCUGUGGAAUGAAUGCAGUGAUAAUGUAAGUGUCAAUUUUCUUCUUCUUUUUUUAUAUGAGGACCUAUUGUAAGUGCCAAAAUCUGAUACCAAUUGUUGAGAAUGGGUGGGCCUAUUACUACUAAUACGAGGACUUGAAUUUGACAAAAUACUUUCUUUAUUGCAACAAGAGUAUUACAACAGAGCACUCUUACACUUUUAGGUGACUAUCCUAACACUCAUACUCUCACUCUUUCUUCUACCUAGCACUACUGCCUUGCUCUCAUCCUACCAUGCCUCUUCCUAGUAU